rnacentral:rRNA from 1 species
GGAUUCCCCUAGUAACUGCGAGUGAAGCGGGAAAAGCUCAAAUUUAAAAUCUGGCAGUCUUCGAUUGUCCGAGUUGUAAUCUAAAGAAGUGUUACCCCCGCUGGCCUGUGCAAAAGUCUUCUGGAAUGAAGCAUCAAAGAGGGUGAGAAUCCCGUAUUUGGCACAGACUACCAGGGCUAUGUGGUGCGCUCUCAACGAGUCGAGUUGUUUGGGAAUGCAGCUCAAAAUGGGUGGGAAAUUCCAUCUAAAGCUAAAUAUUGGCGAGAGACCGAUAGCGAACAAGUACCGUGAGGGAAAGAUGAAAAGAACUUUGGAAAGAGAGUUAAAAAGUACGUGAAAUUGCUGAAAGGGAAACGCUUGAAGUCAGUCGCGUUGGUUGGAAAUCAACCUUGCUUUUGCAUGGUGUACUUUCUGAUUGACGGCUCAGCAUCAGUUUUGACCAUUGGAUAAAGGUCGUCGGAAUGUGGCACCUUCGGGUGUGUUAUAGCCUUCUAUUGCAUACAUUGGUUGGGAUUGAGGAACUCAAUGCGCCGCAAGGCCGGGUCUUUGACCACGUACGCAUUUAGGAUGCUGGGAUAAUGGCUUUAAUCGACCCGUCUUGAAACACGGA